CCGGCGGCUCUUCACCAGAUCCAGUGGCGCCGUGCGGUAUCCUCCGGCGAUGGGUCACCCACGUCCUGUUCGUGGAUGGCGCCGUCGGCGCUACCUGACCUCGGCGACAGAGGAAGGUGGAGAGAGCAUAAAACGUUGUGCGGGUGUGGCGAGCGGCAACCGGGCCCUGACUAAUGCAAGUUGCCUCCGAUCCGAACAUGAAUGUAAAUCCAAUCCUUGCACAUGCUCGCACUUGUAGCAGGCAGGCAGCCAGCAGGAUCUUGUUCCUCUUCAUCUUGUUGUUUUUUUAAGAAAAAAAGGGGACCUUUGUGCUUACUGCUUAUAUGCAUAUGCUUCUCCGAGAGGAAGCUUCAUUUUAGCUGUCAGAUCUCACGGAUUCCUUUCUGAUCGAUCAUGCCUACUCCGAUGCUAUCAAGGAUAAUUGAUUGAUUUCUUUUAAAAUUUGUGUGCGUGCCUACUCCGAUCCUAAGUACGAGACCGAUUCCUAUAAGGACAGGGAUCGAAUUCGAUCAGGAAUCAUCCAUCGACCACGAAUAUAUAUAUAGAUUGUUAUUGCCAAGCCCCUAACUCGUGGUCAUUUUCCUUGCUGCUUGUGCUUGGCGCCAUGGGGUUGAAGACGGCCAGUAAGAGGAAGAGGAAGAGGGAUACACCUGAGCUGUUCGACGAGAUCGUCUGGGAGAUCUUAAUCCGGCUGCCUGUGAAAUCCCUGGUGAGGUUCAGAUCCGUCAGCAAGGCCUGGCGCGCCAUCAUCUCCGACCCCUCCUUUGUUCGUGCGCACCUCCACUUCUGCAGACAGACCCAGCAUCAGAACCCAUCUUUCCUCAUCAGCCCCCAUUUUAAUCUGCAGCGACGGGGUCGUGCAACUGCCAAGGCUCUCUCCACCAACAUCCGCUUCUACCAAUGACAUUUAAAAAAGGAGACUUGGAGCACUGCAACGCUUGUCUACGGGAGGCACUUCCCAGCUGGCGAGUUUGGGACGGUGUCCCAAAUGGUACACUGCGAUGGCUUGGUCUUGCUCUCCACCAACACCAAGGCCUACGUCUUCAACCCGGCCACAAGGGACGCCAUUGCGCUGCCAGAGAGCAAGCGCAACGCGCUGCCGCUGCAUGAUACGUGCCUUCCUAUAGGCUUGGGUAUGGAUGCUUCCACAGGCAGAUACAAGGUUGCACGCGCUUUCUAUCGCCCCAGCGACGACGAUCCCACGAGGAUGGCUGCCAUGGGCAUGGAGGUCUUCACCAUUGGUGGCGAAGACGGCUCCUGGAGGGAAACCUUGGAGGAUCCACCCUACCUCAUGGCGAGCUUCUGGCAGGCCGCCGCACAUUGCAAGGGUUGCCUAUUUUAUUUCAUUGAUAAGAAAAACCAUCAAAAUCCCCCGCAGGGGCUAAUCCGUUUCAAUCUUCAAGACGAAACGUUCGGUAUCACUCCAUUGAUUCCCGACCUGCUUCCUCAAGUUGAAGAUGAUGAUAUUGCUUUGAGCGAGCUUGAUGGGGAGCUAUGCGCUUGUUUCUUCUCCAAGUGGUUGCAACGACUAAUGAUCUUUACAACAGGAGAUAUCUUGGAUCGUUCGGACGAUGCGCAUUGGAGAUGCCGUUAUGUGAUCGAUUUACCUGAAUGCCAUCCAAUGGCCUUACAUGGCAGUGGGGGGAUUCUAAUGCGACUAGGUCACUGCCUCUUCCGCUACGACUUGGGAGCUCACGGCAUACAAGGCAAAGAUGACUUUCAUUGGAUGGAUCGCCUAAAAUACGUUGGGCUGCGUUGCCGGGGGCGCGCAUGGAAAAACCUAUGCUUCUUCAACCUAAGUUCUUACACGGAAAGCCUUGUUCCACUUAAUGCUAAGGCGAGCUCGCAGGCCUUGCAGUAAUGGGUAAACUUUGCCCACCAUCUUUGAUGGAUGCAACAUUAGUCUCAGGCAAAGCGAGCUGUUUGCAUGCGAGUUCUAUAUUGUUACCUUAGAAACAUUCCGAUUUGUGCUUAUCAUGGUCUUCAGUUGUAAUUGUAUUAAGGUUGCCGUUGGCAUUUCUCCAUGGAACUCACUCUGUUGAAUCAUUCUGUGCUGAAUAAAAAUUACUGUGUCAAUCGUUUGGCUACGCUGUGGGAUUUUCUUUCCAGAAAGAGUGUUGCCACUCAUGUUAGCUUGUUUAAUGGAUGAAAAAUUAAAAUGGUUUGCCUAGAAUGUGAAAAAAAAAAUUCCUGUUCACCGCACUAUAGUAUAACAACGCCCAUUCUCUAGCCAUCCCCGUCCUGCCAAAAUGAGCACUUCUAUGCAUUUGUGAGUGGGUUUUUUGAAUUCGAAUCAAACUGAUGGAUUAAAUGCAAACACCAACAUUGCGAACAACCUACGCAAAUCUAACACAGGGCAUGUGCUAGUAGGUAUUUUUUGUGAAAUAGUGUAUCGCGAAUCAUCACCACCAGAGCCAACAAAAACUGGCGUGCGAUGCAACAGCUAAGUUAAUUCGUGCACAACUGACAAUAAACCAUCAACAGACGCCAAUGCUUACAUCUUCAAAACAAAAGCCAUCGUGACAUAACAUCUCCCAGAAUGCCCCCAUGCAACACAAAAAACAUAUGGUAAUAUGGGAACCAAAUGAAGCAACACUAUCUCUUCUGCGUUUUUUUUUGAAGAAACAGGAGGGUGACCCCUACUGAUUAUAUAAAUAAAAGUUAAAACCGGUACAAAGCAGCAAACAAAGCAGAAAAGAAAAAAGGAGCAACAAAAGGUCUACAAAUAAAACAAAAAAAGGAGGAGAAAGAAGAAAAGGGUCCAUCGGUAGGUUACAAAGCGUCAACCCAUUCUAACAUCUGUGGUUGCAAGAGGGGCCUAGCCCUAUGAAGCGCUACCUGACGAAACUCUGAAAUGAAUUUCCUUGUGACGUCUCUGAUCGCCGGAGCCACGUUAUUGAAAGUCCAGUCAUUUCUGGAUGUCCAGAUACUCCAAGACAUGAGGAUUAUUAUUUCCAUAGAGAAGGGUAAAUGUAGCUGCCUUCUAAUAUUAAGGAAGAUGGAGAGGGCCGAUCUGGUGGAGGGGUAAGAGAUACCGACCGAGCGCCAACAAGCCUUGGCAAAGUUGCAUCGUAGGAAGAGAUGUGCUGCCGUCUCACGUUUUUGUAGGAUGCACAUUUCACACCCUGUGGAAUCCAAAGCCAUGGAUCUCCUGCUGAGGACAUCUUUGGUGUUGACUCUGUCUUUCAUGAGUAGCCAAAAGAAGAUUUUGUGUUUGUUUUGACAUUUUGAUCUCCAUAACCAGCUGAAUAUUGGGUGAGCUCCUCUUUCCCCAAUAAGGGUUUUGUAUAUCCUAGAGGUUGAGAAGAUAGGAUUACCCCAGGUGUACACCCAUAUGUCUUGGGGCUGUGAAUUGUCUAUCUGAUGUAAGAUUCCUUGUAAUUGUGCGAGCUGAUCAUGUGCCUCUGCUGACAAAGGUAGCUGCACUGUGUCCAGCAAAGAGCCUUGCAAGACCUUCUUGAGCGUGAUUCUUUCAUAUUUUGCAUAGGAAGCUAGCUGUGGAAGAUCACGAGAUAGGAGAUGGCUGUUCCAAGUAUCUUUCCAGAACAGGACUGUUCCACCAUCAGAGACUCUAGCAGAAGCUAUCCCCUUGUAUAAAGCGAUGAGUUUCACUAUGUCUCGCCACCAGAAGGAACCUUUCCUACGUCCUCCAGGGAGAUUACCGUGCUGAUAAUAGCUUUCCCAUAGAAGGUGUACCCAGGGAGUGUCCUCUUGGGAGUAAAAUUUGUGCAGGAAUUUGAGCAGAAGAGCUUCAUUUUGAUUCUGGAGGUUGAUGACCCCCAAUCCCCCUUGUUUCUUGGGCAGACACACCAGAGGCCAAGCCGCUUUAGAUGGUUUCCUAGAUGUCAAGUCUGAACCUCUCCAGAGACAAUGCUUUCUGAAUUUAUCAAUCUGUGCAAUAACCCCUUUUGGAAGUUUAAAGGUGGCCAUAUGAAACAUUACUAUUGAUGUUAAAACCGAAUUGACAAGAUGUAGUUUUCCACCUUGGGAUAACAUAGAAGAAAUACCACCCAACUUUCUUUCGACCUUCUUAAUAACUGGGAGGAAGUCUUCAAAUUUUGGUUUGGUCAUUCCCAGGGGUAAGCCAAGAUAAGUAAAGGGGAGGGAACCAGCUUGACAAUUGAGCACGUUGGCUAGAACCUGCAGGGUUUCUGGACUUGUGUUUAUAGGAACCAUAACUGUUUUGGCAAAGUUGACCUUCAAUCCAGUAGAUUCAGCAAACAUGUCUAGGAUGGAUUUUAAGUGUAGAAGUUGACUUUGAUCUGCUUCCAUGAUUAACAGAGUGUCAUCUGCAUAUUGAAUGACAGGGAAAUCUGUGCCCGCUCCAUUUUCAAUGGGCAAACGAAUUCUGCCUUCCUCUUUGGCUCUAUUUAGGAUGGACUGUAAGUGGUCUGCCGCUAACACAAAGAGAAGUGGCGAAAGAGGAUCACCCUGCCUGACUCCCCUCUUGCAGUGAAAAACUUUCCCCGGGACCCCAUUCAGAAUUACCGAGGAGGUUCCUGAGGUAAGAAUGCUUUCAAUCCAUUUGAUCCAUCUGUUUCCAAAGCCCUUAUGCUUUAGGAUUUCCAGUAUUGCCCGAUGUUCAAUUUUGUCAAAGGCCUUUUCAAAAUCCAGUUUAAGAAUGACCAAGUCCUUCCUAGAGGCUUUACAGAUGUGUAGGAACUCAAAAGCCCAUGCCAAGCAGUCCUGGAUGCUUCUGGUCCUAAUGAAACCAUAUUGAUUUUUAUGAACUAGUUCUGGUAUGACCUUCUGAAGUCUCUCAGCUAGAAUUUUUGUGAUAAGCUUGAUUGAUGAGUUAAGGAGAGAAAUAGGCCUGAAGUCCCCCACCUCCAGAGGACAGUCCUUUUUCGGGAUAAGAGUACUAUAUGAAGAGUUGAUACUCCUUACACAUACUUCUCCAUCAUAGAAAGCAUCACAAAGGGAGUAGAAUUCAGGGGCUAUCAGAUGCCAGCAUUUCUUUAUAAACUCACCAUUAAAACCAUCUGGACUAGGGGAUUUGUUAGCAGGUAAAUCCUUAAUAACAUUAUCGAUUUCCUGUCUUGAAAAGGGUGAUUCCAACCGCUCCAGGUGAUUUGAGGGGAUUAGAAGGGAUUGGAGGUCAAAAUACAUAUGGGUGAAAUUGCUCCUGCCCAUCCUGUCUCUGAAGGCUUCCCACAGCAAGGUAGCUUUGACGUGAUGAUCCUUAAAUUGCUGGCCGGAUUGGUCUUGCAGACAGGUGAUAUGAUUGAGUUUGUUUCUGAUAGAGGCCCUUGCAUGGAAGAAGUGAGUGCUUUCAUCUCCCAGUUUAACCCAAUUGAUGGAGCUUCUCUGCUUCCAAUAAAUCUUCUGUUGUUGUAAAAGAGAGGUCAGAUGUGAAGAGAUUACAUCCCUGAAAUUCCACUCCUCCAGAGUUAGAUCCCUGAAUUCUUCCAUGACAUCAAGGAAGAAAAGCACAUCCUUUGUGUUUUGAAUAGUUUUGGCUAAACUCUGCAGAUUUGAUUUCCAAGCUCUCAGCUCCUUUCGUAGAUUCUUGAAUUUAGCUCCAAUGAUCCUAGCCUUGUCACUAUAAGGUGGGUCAUAGUUCCAACCCCUUUGCAAAAGUACUGGGAAUUGCUCGUGAUGUAGCCAAUAGUUUUCAAACCUGAACAGCUGAGGUGCUGGAAUGUGGGUUGAAGCUGAAAUAACACAGGGAUUAUGAUCCGAUGAAUCUCUAGAAAGGACAGAGGCACAAGUGUUGGGGUAUUUGGAUAUCCAGGAUGAGAAAGAGAAAAACCAGUCUAAUCUCUCCAGGAGGGGACUGACUUGUUUGUUGGUCCAGGUGUAUUUUCCCCCUUUUAACUGAAUUUCAUUUAGGCUUAAACGGCUGAUGGCAUCAUUGAAGAGAAACAUAUCUUGAAGAUUACCCCCUGGCUUAUUUCUAUUUUCCGGCCUUCUUAACAGAUUAAAGUCACCCACAACGAGCCAACGUUCCUCCUCAGGCAUAUCAAUACGUUUGAACCACCUUAAAAAUUCGACUUUUCCAUCUGGGGUACAGGGGGCAUAGAUGUUGUUAUAAUCCAGGAGUCCCCAGAGAGUUUGCAAUGAAAUUCUAUGGACUGAGCAAACCUAUUCUGAAAGAGAGGUUCUCCUCUGAGUUUAUCAUUAUUCCAAAAGACCAAUAGGCCACCUGAAUUCCCAAUUGACGGGACAAAAUCAAACUGAUUGAACUUUGUGCAACAAAAAUUCCUCAGAUAGGCUUCAGAGAAGGAGUCUCUUUUGGUUUCUUGUAAGCAGAUAAUAUCAGCCUUAGAUUCAGCGAUUUUACUUCUAAUGGCAUUCCAUCUAGUCACCGAAUUGAUGCCCCUCACAUUCCAAGACAAAAUAUUCCAUGAUCUUCUAGUAUUCAUUUAAAUCAGGGGGGGAGCUAACUGAAUCUUUAUGCCUAUCUUCAUGAAACAUAAGAGGCAAGAAACAAAAGGGGGGUAAAAGGCACAGCUGAUGAACAAACGACUGAGGCACAUAAAACCCAGCAACUUCCAGAAAAGAUAACCGACCACAAAGAGGAAUGGCCAUACAAGUUUUAUGGGACGACAUAAAAGAGUUCAUCACAGAGUCACUAGAUAAGCAGGUCCAAAGAGUUAACCACAUAAGCCAACAUAAGACAAAAGACAUGAUAGCGGCCUCAGAUCUCCUUAGACUCCGUUGGAGCUGUUGGACGAAGCUUCUGACAGGACCUCCUUCCCCUUGCUGUAAGCUUCAGAAAAUCUUGUGGUCGUCGUCCUCCCUAUGGGCUUCUGAGAUCCGGAGUUGAAGGACAGCUUUCCCGGGCCAAUCUUAGUUCUGUCGAGCGCACACACCUUUGUACCUAAGCUCUGGAUGACAUCAGCGCUGAUUGUAGGUGGGCAAGCAGUGCAAGCUAAGCAUGUGUUGUCCUGACAAGAAGAUCUGCGAAAACCUUUGCUCUUAGCUUUGAUGCGGUCACUCCUUCUGACCGAGGAUUCACAUUCUGGUGCCGCUUUGAUGCUCAAACGAGCUCUGGCUUUUUUAGGUGACCUUGCUUCCUUCAAAUCAGGUUUAGCUGCCUUACAGAGUUCAGGGGUCGAAGUUCCCACCUCUUCCUGAGAGAGCGAGCAGAUGAAGGGAGUAGAACUUGGGCAUUUCUGAGGAAUAGCAAAAGCCAUCAAAGCUGUCUGGUUGGAGCACGAGAGCAGAAAUUCCCAGGUCUUGGAGGCCAGAAACUGCUUAGCCCAAUCAAAAUGUUCUGGAGACAUGAGCAUAUUGAUAAAGAAAGCAGCCCAAUCAGAAGGUAUCUGGGUCACCUGCUCAGGACAUCCAACAGGAGAGAAGUGUUGGGCCCAAAGUCUAUAAACAUUGGGGUUCUGCCCAGGCCUUUGCUUUUCCAUGUUAAAGUCCUUGGGAGUGGAGAGACAGUCUGGUAAGAGCGAUGACAUGCUGCCCGUGAUAUUCUUGGGCAGGUGGGAGAAGUUCACCUGCUGAUCUUGAGUGAGGACCAUGUUUAUAUUGAGAUUAACAAACAUAUGACCCUCUUGGGCCACAUUCUGACCAAGACCUACUCCCUCUUGAAUAGGAGCCUGCAGCCCAAGGACAACUUCCUGGGCACCUUGAUUCCCUUCCUGAGCCCCCAUCUGGACCAUGUUGCCAUCUUCUGCGUUUGCACACUCAACUUGGUGGCAGAACGCAGCUGCCUCUGUUGGUGCCUUAGUGGUGUGCCCCUAACCCUUGGUUGGAGGUUCCUCCCCCGGCCACAGCACUGUAUCCUGAAUCUGAUCUCUGCAGUCUUCUGGCCCUAUCCUUGGAUGAUAAUUUUGCCCCUCCAACUGAUGCUCAAAGUUUCCAGGAGGGCUGAAUGCAAUCCCAGUGCCCCUUUCACCAUAGUACUCGGACCUCGCACGUGGAGAAGGCAUUCCCUGUGGUGGCCGCAGUGUGUGGUGCAUGGCAGAUCUGUACAUGUGGCCACUGCCACGCCCAGAACUCAAUCCUGGUGAAGACAUCGCCUGAUCAGUAACCCUGGGACAGUAAAAGUUUACAGGAGACCUGUAAGGCGUUGCCUGACCUGUAGCCCUGGUUGUGUAGAAACUUCCAGGAGGCCUGUCAUGUGUUGACUCGCCUGAAACCUGAGCCUUGUGAUCUUGUUUCAGAAUCCGUUUACCUUCACCUCCAUAGGACGAAGAGCCAGCAUGCUGUAGCAACAUACGUAACCAAAACAUAUCAAUCAAUCACAUCUAAACAAGCUAUGCACCACAUUUAAUAACUGAUGAAAUAGAUGUUAAGUAAUAUGCACCUUGUUAAUGAUGUCUGACAUAAUUCCUUUAGCAUUGUUUACUUCUUCUAAGGUACCACGGAUCCUGAAUUUACUUUCAUGCUUUAUAUGCUGUAAAAAAGUUUUUUAUUAAGGCCAGUUAUGGGAAGCACGCCUGAACUUUAAAUCUACGGAAGGAGGGGGGGGGGGGGGGGGGGAGGGGGGAUUGAUCAUACACUAAUACGAGCACCAGACUCAUGUUCUAUGCUUUGCACUCUUCGGCCACCGCUCCCAAUGAUCAGCCCGAUCUAAUGACAAAAGAAAAUCUUAGAAUAUGCAAGGAAAAAGGCUCGAGUUUGGUCUCUCAACUCUUCAAUUAGUUUAACUGUGAGUCCUCAUCUUCGAUACCUGUCACAUUUGGUCCCUUAUCUGGGAACACCAGGCAACUCUAGUCCCUGUGCUCAUUUCCUGCUGGUUUUGCAAACCUAGCAGAAGCCAGAACCACCAUGGCCCAUACCCACCAUCCGACAUCAGUGCAUGCCCCUCUCUCUUCGCCUUCUUUGUUUUUUUCUCUCUUUCCCAAUGGGAACACCAGCAGGCCCAGUCCAGCUGCUGCACUGCAAUCCCACUGCCCAUCAGUGUUGCAGUGCACCCGAUAUACGGCCAUAAGAUGCAUCUGGACAUUGCUUAGCAAAUUGCGAAAAGUCUGCGAAUCACAAGUGCUAAUUUGGCAUGCAGUACCAGCCCCAGGUACUUGUUACUCCAAUAAAUCCAAUGAGUGGCGACCUCAUUGCAAUCAUGGAACAUGGCUAAUAAAUACUCAAAGAGGGCACUCCUUAUACAGGACCAGCAAGGGCAAUGACCAAAAGACCUUCCAUUGAGCUUGCCAUCAACUAGACAUGGCUCACAGAUAGGAGUUUGUCAUGGCUACAGCCUACAGGGGUAGGAGUAGCAACUGCACACAAUAUUGUCCGUUGACUUGACAACCGGAUGGUUCAGAUCUACUUCUAUACUACCUAAAAAAACACAUGUGCUACCAUGUCCUCUGCUACAAUAUAGAAAAAAGAGAGAGUUCCUAACACGUCAGCUCUACCAUGUCAAUCGGAGUCAACUAUGCACAUCAGCAAAAGAGCCAUGGACAGCGAACAAGGACUACUCUUGCCUGGUAUUAGAAGAUGGAGGACUAAAGAUGACUGGUAAAAGAUAAGAGACAAAAAUCAAACUACAAAAAGAGACACGGUACCAAUCUUACUUUUUCUUAUUAGCAAACUAGCAACUAGGAGUUAAGACUCACCAUGUGCUGUGGGACAGAAAAAUGAAUUUCUACACCACCAUCUGUUGCACCUUCAAUAUAUGUUUCAUUUUCCUGUGAAAGAUGAUACAGUGACCUCCAUACCGUUGUAUCCAAAUCAAAUAAAAUGUACACAGCAAAACUGAAUAGAUACCUUGGAAACGGCUUCCGUGAUGAGUUGCACAGCCGUAGUUAUCUCCCUGAGUGUACCCCGGAUUUCAACCGGGCAGGGGUCAGGAAAUUUACCUCUCCAGUGCCCAUCUGGAUUUAUUCUAAUAAUUGCAGAGGAUCUUAUUUUAAUCCUUUCGAUUGUAUUUCCACCCGUGCCAAUAAGCGCACCGACCUGGCAUAUUUACAUAAAAAAGAUCAAGAAUUAACACAACAAUGUUGUGCUGAAAAGAGUUCUAUAGCAUAAAAAGGAGAGCUAGAACACCUUAUUUGCAGGAAUAUAAAUUCUCCGAGAAGUAGUGGUAAGUGAAUCUUCUUCAUGUUCUAAUGAUGCAUCAUCUGGCUUCUUGGAAUGAUGACAGCUUUUGGGUUUCUCAUUCAAGGAACGUACCUAAGCAUAAUGGAUCUCUUUAAAUCAGAGGAAAAUAAACAAUUAUGUGUGCAUAAUUACAAAGAUAAAAAAUUAUUACAUUUUGUCGUUACUGUUUAUAGCUUUUAGCACCUUUGCUAGCCUUUGUAGCAUGUCUUUCCUCUGAGGAACUGGCCUCCUCAUCACUACUGCACAGAUUCAUAGCAGAUCAUGCAUCUAAAAAAAUUCAUAAAUAUGGAAGUUUAAGUUAAUGAUAAAAACAUGUAACCUUUCACCCAGGGGUAAAUCAAUAAGUGAUAUUUCCUCAUGGGAAGAAAUAACUUCCUGGUUUGUCAAUCCGGCAACAAGAUGAUGUUUCUGCAAAAACCUUUGGUGUCUACUUCUCCUGGUAAAUUUUCCAACAUAAUGGUAAAAUACAAGUAUAAACCCAAUUGAUGCAGACACUUUUAUGCAUUUACCGGGAACAUAACACAUCAUCUUAAUAUGAUAGGAGAGAAACAUUACAUUUCAAGUAUAUCUCCCAUCAGAGUUUCCAGCAGCUGCUGUGUUUUUGAAGAAUUAAAACCACACUCUGGAAGUCUAAUAAAUUUCCGGUCCUGCAUUUUUUUAAACGAGAUUUAGUAUCCUUUCUUGCACUUUCAUAACUCGUGAAAUGCCAAGUGGGCACGAAUUCCGCCAAUUUGCGAAAAAAUGAUAAGUUCAGUGUUACUACGAGUAUGUUAAGUACAGCUUCGAAAGGAACUUCUGACAGAUAGGAACGUUUGCUCGAAUUACCUCGAGUUCAACUAAAGGUGAACAAACCUUUCCUUCCAAUAUUGCUCUGGCCAAAUUACCUUUUAGUAUCUAAAUAGCAAUAUGAAAAGGACGUCAACACAACAAAAAUACGUAUAGAAAAGAGAAGAUGCUCAUGUUACCUGAGUUUUAUAUAUGUCUUCUUCAAUUGUCAUGCAGGUCACAAGCCUGUAUACGGUAACAUCCUCUUUUUGGCCAAUUCUAAAGACCCUGUCAGCUAUCUGAUUGUCAUCACUAUGGUAAACAAAUGUGUAAGUGACAUUGAACAAGGCAAUUAUUUUGUUAGACUCAGAGUGGCUUUAAAAUGGAAUUUUAUUAUGCAAAUUGUGCUGCACUGACCACGAAAGGGGUUUAGUAAUGAAAGAGGUCAAGUAGUUCAUGGUCGCAUGGAUUAUUAUCAAGCUUAGGUUCUUGUGGCAGGAAAAUGCAUGAAUUGUACAAGCAGAAUAGCUGUUGGGAAAAAGAUUGUGGACUAGACAGAAAUAUUGCCCAAAUAAAAAUCAACUGACGCAACAUUUCUAGCAAUUCCGUGAACAUAUAAACCUUAUGUUCCAUGACGGAUCAACGAUGAUAACCCUGGUUGCUGCAGUCAGGUUCAGGCCUUCACCACCCACUCUUGCACUGAGCAAAAAAAUUUUAGGAGCAUCUUCAACUUGAGAACUAAAUUUCUGCACAAUGAGAAGGUAAGUAAACAACAAGAAAUUAAGAGGGGAUAUAAGUACUCUUUGCAAAAAUAAAUAAGGAAUAACCUUAAUCUUUUGAUCUCUUUCUGUCCUCUCCAUGGAUCCAUCAAUUCGAAUAGUAUCACCUUCUUUUCCUAUAGCUUUAAGUGCUAUCUGCUUACAAUACAACAAAGUAAUAAAUUUUGCACAUCAAGUACAUGGAACAAAAAUUGUCUUCAAAUAUGCUCAACAAGCAUGUAAAAAGAAAAGUCAUGAACUGAUGGAGCUAUCACCUCUAUUCUAUCGAGCAUAGAAAUGAAUUGUGAGAAGAUAAGUAUCUUCAGGUUCUUGUUUUUCCUCAUACCCUGCAACAAAAGGUAAGAGUCUAUGUUUCGAUGCAAUGAAAGAAAGCAAACUAAUUGUUUAGAGGAAAUACCAGAUCCUUUUUUUUCUCAGCCUUCUCUUCCUCAAAUAGUUCAUUCUGCAACAAAAUAAAAGGUUGAGUUUCAAACAAAAAGAAAGAUAAUAUCCUAUAGCGAAGGAAAGGAAAAGCUCAAAAAAAAACUUACGUACCACAAGAUCCAAGAUGAAGGAAAUCUUGCAUGAAUUUUUAUAUUUUUUCCAAACUUCAUGAUCGAAUGACUCAAGCAAUCUUUUUGCUAACCUCCUAACUGAAUUCCCCUGGCCUCUAUCAAUUGCUUCUAACAGUAGCUCUGACCAUUGCAUAUGUGUCGACAGAUCUAUUUCAAAGACCAUAGAGAAUGGUAAAUACGUUCAUCACAUGACUAAGAUAACUGAUAAGCUUUACCAUGUAGGCUUACCACUCCCUGCGUGAUUGUUGACUUAUCUUCAUCAUACCAUGCAUGUGAUUCUUGGUCAAUAAUUUUGCAGAACCUUGAGUAAAUCUCAGCCAGUGCAUCAGUUGUCAUUAUAGACGCAUAAUAAAGAUAAGAAAGCUGCAGUAAGCAUGCACAGUGCAUAACUACGUAGAUAAAACUGCAGUACCACUAAACAUAGAGAAUACCUGAAGCUCUGUCAAUCUUAACCAAACAAUAAGCUCAGUAUUCUUACAGGGUAGCUCCCCACUUUCUAUUAGGACUGAUUUUGUUCUUCUGAGAAUAUAGGGAGAAAUUUCUUUUCUGCCACUCUGUACAAGAACAAGGCCACAGUUAACUUGGUUAGUUGGUAUGAACUAAUGACUGUAGCAUGCAAGAAAAAAUUUGUGCAAAAUUUACUGCAAGAGCUUUUAUAAAUCGUUUCUUAUUUCUUUCUGUAGAGUUCAAAUACUGUCCCAGCUCAGCAGGCCUCAUAUACUUCUUGUGAAAAGUGUGUUGGUCACCCAGGACAUCAGGUUUUAUGAAUUUCAUAAGAGAGAAUAUGUCCUGUUAGAAGCAAGAAGUAAAAAGAAGGGUAAGCCGUUGAAGAGGGUGGGGUGUGUGUUGGGGGUUGGGGGAACGUACUAAGAGGUUUCUUGGCAAUGGAGUCCCUGUCAAAAGAAGUUUUUUCCUGCAUUCAAUGUUAUCCACUUGUUUUCUUACAUUGGACAUGAGGUUCUUUAUUCUGUGAGCUUCAUCGAGAAUUGUGUAGUCCCAAUCCACUGCUGUCAGCUCCUUAAACUUGCUUCCAUAAGUUUCAUAAGUUGUUACCAAAAUACCUCCUCUCUGAAAAGAAGAAAACAUGUUAAAAGGCAGUCGCAGAUAAACACAGAAUUAAGAAUAUCUCGAAAUGAAAUGAAAUAUAACCUCGUUCACAAUUUGCAGGCCUCUUUCACCAGAACCAUGAUAGAUGUGAAAAUGUUUGGCUAGCCCUGCAUUUGUAAGCUCCUCUGACCAUGAGGCAAGGACACUUACUGGAACAAUAAUCAUAGCCCUGCGAAUUAUAUCGGAAUGCAGAAGACCGGAUAGGAAUGCUACAGUCUGAAGUGAGGAAAACAAAUAAAUGUGUUACAAACACAAUGGCUCAGUGAUUUGAAACCAUCAUCUUAAAAAGAGCUCACAAGAUCAUUGGAAAAUAUAAAUAAUACAGCAUCCCAAAGCAGAUAAAGUAUUUUGUGAUCCAUUCAACUGACCAGUUGAAAUACUGAAGAAAUCCAAUAAAAUACAUUGCAAAGGUGUGUCAGAUGUCAAUUGACAUGUGAUAUACUUCAUUCGUCCCAAAUUACUAUUCGUUUUAGCUUUUCUAGAUACACACCUUUUGGCAUGCACCUAGAUAUAUACUUAUGUCUAGAUACAUAGCAAAAAUGAUGUACCUAGAAAAGCCAAAACGAAUAGUAAUUUGGGAUGGAGGGAGUAAUUGAGAAAAGGGGCAAUUAUUUAGAGGAAAUGGAAAUAUAACAGCAACGUAAAUCGAUCUUAGCUAAUAUGAUAUGCAAAUUAUAAAAUAAGAUGUACCUGCAGUGUUUUUCCCAUCCCCAUAUCAUCCGCAACAAUACCUCCAGAAUGCUGGCAAUAGAUUCUCCAAAGCCAGUGCAACCCCUCUUGCUGGUGGGGCUGGAGCUUCUGGUAAAGUCUACCAGGUACAAUGCAAACUUUGUCCAUGUUCCCCCCAAAAGGGUGCAUUUGCAAAUCCGGCAAGACAUGCUCAGCUAAGAAAGAAUGCAUCAAUAUCAGUACAAAUUGAACCACUGCAAUCAUUGAUUCAUUAUCAUGAUGCCAUAGCUGAUUUUGCCUUUAGAAACAUUUAAUACUAAAGCAGUGGCGAAAAGGACAUAGAAGAUACUCUUGCUCCUACUAAACACAUCAAACAGCAAGACUCAUUGAAAUAAAUCAUAUAUUUGUAUUUAGAAAGCCACUGACUCAAUUCAAUUCUCUAUCUCCCUUAACUUUUGUCCUUAUUACAGGAGCUCAAACACUUCAAACGGAAUUAGGAACAAGUAGAAACCAUCUAUCUACAUGGAGGGUGUUCACGUGUUCGAGAAAAGAUUAAGGAUGCUGACCUUGAUUUCCAUUGGCG
rnacentral:lncRNA from 1 species